GUGGGGAAUAUUGCGCAAUGGGGGAAACCCUGACGCAGCGACGCCGUGUGAGGGAAGAAGGCUUUCGGGUCGUAAACCUCUGUCAGAAAGGAAGAACCUCCCAAGUCCGAAUAGGGCUUGGGACUGACGGUACUUUCAAAGGAAGCACCGGCUAACUCCGUGCCAGCAGCCGCGGUAAUACGGAGGGUGCAAGCGUUAAUCGGAAUCACUGGGCGUAAAGCGCGCGUAGGCCGCUUUGUAAGUCGGACGUGAAAGCCCUCGGCUCAACCGGGGAACUGCGUUCGAUACUGCGAGGCUUGAGUCCUGGAGAGGGUGGCGGAAUUCCUGGUGUAGGAGUGAAAUCCGUAGAUAUCAGGAGGAACACCGGUGGCGAAGGCGGCCACCUGGACGGGUACUGACGCUGAGGCACGAAAGCGUGGGGAGCAAACAGGAUUAGAAACCCCGGUAGUCC
rnacentral:rRNA from 1 species